GGCCUGGCUGGGUGGUCUUGCCGCAAGGUAAGCACUGCUCUGGUCGGGUCUUUCCUUCUGGGGAACCUGCGUGCUCUUAAUUGAGUGCGCAGGGGAUCCAGGACUUUUACUUUGAAAAAAUUAGAGUGUUCAAAACAAGCUUAUGCUUGAAUACAUUAGCAUGGAAUAAUAGAAUAGGAC
rnacentral:rRNA from 1 species